rnacentral:rRNA from 1 species
GACGGGGCCCGCACAAGCGGUGGAGCAUGUGGUUUAAUUCGAUGCAACGCGAAGAACCUUACCUGGGCUUGACAUCUGGGGAAUCCCCUGGAAACAGGGGAGUGCCUUUCGGGGAGCCCCAAGACAGGUGCUGCAUGGCUGUCGUCAGCUCGUGUCGUGAGAUGUUGGGUUAAGUCCCGCAACGAGCGCAACCCUUGUCAUUAGUUGCUACAUUCAGUUGGGCACUCUAAUGAGACUGCCGGUGACAAACCGGAGGAAGGUGGGGAUGACGUCAAGUCCUCAUGGCCCUUAUAGGUGGGGCUACACACGUCAUACAAUGGCUGGUACAAAGGGUUGCCAACCCGCGAGGGGGAGCCAAUCCCAUAAAGCCAGUCGUAGUCCGGAUCGCAGUCUGCAACUCGACUGCGUGAAGUCGGAAUCGCUAGUAAUCGUGGAUCAGCAUGUCGCGGUGAAUACGUUCCCGGGCCUU